rnacentral:rRNA from 1 species
UACGGAGGGGACUAGCGUUGUUCGGAAUUACUGGGCGUAAAGCGCACGUAGGCGGAUCGGAAAGUUGGGGGUGAAAUCCCGGGGCUCAACCCCGGAACUGCCUUUGAUACUGUUGGUCUGGAGUUCGAGAGAGGUGGGUGGAAUUCCGAGUGUAGAGGUGAAAUUCGUAGAUAUUCGGAGGAACACCAGUGGCGAAGGCGGCCCACUGGCUCGACACUGACGCUGAGGCGCGAAAGCGCGGGGAGCAAACAGG